AUUUUUAAUUGUAAUCUGGAAUGAAAGGUUGAAUGAAAUAUUAACUGUUUCUUUUUAAUUUAUUGAAUUUUAUUUUUUAAUUAAAAAGUUAAAAUAUUUUUGAGGGACGAGAAGACCCUAUAGAGUUUUAUAAAAUUAUUAAAUUUUAAUUUUUAUAUAUUUUAAUUAAUUUUUUUUUGUUUUAAUUUAUUGGGGAGAUAUUAAAAUUUAAUAAACUUUUUUAAAAAUAAAUCAUUAAUAAUUGUUUAAAUGAUCUUUUAGUAUAGAUUAAAAAAUUAAAUUACCUUAGGGAUAACAGCAUUAUUUUUUUAUUAAGUUCAAAUUAAUAAAAAAGAUUAU
rnacentral:rRNA from 1 species